rnacentral:rRNA from 1 species
CAGUCGCCGCGGUAAUACGAAGGGGGCUAGCGUUGUUCGGAAUUACUGGGCGUAAAGCGCACGUAGGCGGAUAUUUAAGUCAGGGGUGAAAUCCCAGAGCUCAACUCUGGAACUGCCUUUGAUACUGGGUAUCUUGAGUAUGGAAGAGGUGAGUGGAAUUCCGAGCGUAGAGGUGAAAUUCGUAGAUAUUCGGAGGAACACCAGUGGCGAAGGCGGCUCACUGGUCCAUUACUGACGCUGAGGUGCGAAAGCGUGGGGAGCAAACAGGAUUAGAUACCCCUGUAGUCCCUGUCUCUUAUAC